AGAGUUUGAUCCUGGCUCAGGAUGAACGCUGGCGGUCUGCUUAACACAUGCAAGUCGAACGAAUCCCUUCGGGGAUGAGUGGCGGACGGGUGAGUAACGCGUGAGAAUCUGCCUUUUGGUCGGGGACAACCACUGGAAACGGUGGCUAAUACCGGAUAAGCCUGCGGGUAAAAGAUUAAUUGCCAAGAGAGGAGCUCGCGUCUGAUUAGCUAGUUGGUGAGGUAAAGGCUCACCAAGGCGGCGAUCAGUAGCUGGUCUGAGAGGAUGAUCAGCCACACUGGGACUGAGACACGGCCCAGACUCCUACGGGAGGCAGCAGUGGGGAAUUUUCCGCAAUGGGCGAAAGCCUGACGGAGCAAUACCGCGUGAGGGAAGAAGGCUCUUGGGUCGUAAACCUCUUUUAUCAGGGAAGAAAAAAAUGACGGUACCUGAAGAAUCAGCCUCGGCUAACUCCGUGCCAGCAGCCGCGGUAAUACGGAGGAGGCGAGCGUUGUCCGGAAUCAUUGGGCGUAAAGCGCGCGCAGGCGGCGUCGCCGGCCCCGUGUGAAAGCCCCCGGCUCAACCGGGGAGGGUCACGGGGGACCGCGGCGCUGGAGGGUGGCAGAGGUCGGCGGAAUUCCGGGUGUAGCGGUGAAAUGCGUAGAGCCCCGGAGGAACACCAGUGGCGAAGGCGGCCGGCUGGGCCAUCCCUGACGCUGAGGCGCGAAGGCCGGGGGAGCGAACGGGAUUAGAUACCCCUGUAGUCC
rnacentral:rRNA from 1 species